rnacentral:rRNA from 1 species
UACGUAGGGCGCAAGCGUUAUCCGGAAUUACUGGGCGUAAAGCGUGCGCAGGCGGUUGUGCAAGACCGAUGUGAAAUCCCCGGGCUUAACCUGGGAAUGGCAUUGGUGACUGCACGGCUAGAGUGUGUCAGAGGGGGGUAGAAUUCCACGUGUGAGCAGUGAAAUGCGUAGAGAUGUGGAGGAAUACCGAUGGCGAAGGCAGCCCCCUGGG